GCGCGCUGGUCUUGUGAAAGCGGAAGUGGGGCGCGCAUGUGUCAUCAUUAGAGCAGCACGCGCGACUUCCCCCUUGUUCAAAUUUUUCUGCACUUCUUUUUAUUUGGUAAACCAGGGCUAAUCUGGCUAAUCGUCUCUCCGUGGCUGCCGUGUUAGUGACCCAGUAUGGACAUCCAGAGUAUUGAACCAAUGACACUCGGCUCUCCAGCCUCCCCCAAGCCUGGGGCUCAGUUUUUACCUGGGUUUCUGAUGGGAGACCUGCCUGCUCCUGUCACACCUCAGCCCAGGUCUUUUGGGUUGACAGGAGGUGGGGCAGAAACCAGAUCUUCUCUUCUGGCAGUUGGGUCUCCUCCACAGCCGGUGGUCCCAACGCCUAAAGACAAGAGUGGAGCCCCUCCGGUCAGAAGCAUCUAUGAUGACCUCAACGGCUCCAGUGUGGGAAUGUCACCUCUUGCUGCUCGCAAACAACCAUUUGCUGGAGUACACACACCUUUGUCUGGUCUAACAGGGACGCCAGGAACAGUGUCUAAUUUAUUUAGCCCUGCGGGGCAGCAGAGGAAAUCAACACUUUCCCCAGCUCAAGUAGAUCCGUUCUUCACACAAGGAGAUGCUCUGUCCUCGGAAGACCAGCUAGAUGACACCUGGGUCACAGUGUUUGGGUUCCCUCCAGCAUCUGCAUCAUACAUCCUUUUACAGUUUGCACAGUAUGGAAACAUAUUAAAACAUGUGAUGUCUAAUACAGGCAACUGGAUGCAUGUUCAGUAUCAGUCUAAACUGCAGGCACGAAAAGCUCUCAGUAAAGAUGGAAAGAUAUUUGGAGAAGCCAUAAUGAUUGGCGUCAAACCGUGUAUUGAUAAAAGUGUAAUGGAGAGUUCAGACAAGAGCAUUACUUCCAGUUCUGUGUUCACACCCCCAGUGAAGGCUCCCAGCACCCCCAGUCACCCUCUAUCAACUCCCCGAUCUGUCAUGAGACCCCUCAGUGCUGCUUACAAAGCAUCCAGCAGUGACUACCAGGUUGUGUCAGAUCAACAGACACCAAAAAAGGAUGAGAGUCUGGUAUCAAAAGCAAUGGAGUAUAUGUUUGGAUGGUAAUCUUUCACUCACAUGGUCCUGAUGAAAAAGCUCUGAGACCAUCAACAGCCUCUGAUGUGUUGACAUUGCUCUAAAAACUGACGUUGGGUUUUCUGAGCACAAGCACUGAGUGAAUACAAAAGCACUUUGUCUUUGCAGACUAAUCGACUUUGCGUGCUGUUUUACGGAAGAUGGACUAUUGAGUGUUUCACAUGGACUGUUCUUAACUGCUGGGUUUGGAGUCGUGUGGUUUGAAGUUAGUCCCUCCUGUCUGUCCUCAAAAUCAUACAGACUUACCCACUUAAUCAUAUGCAUUAAGUGUUUCAGGAACAAAUCAUUCACGGGACCCUAUUGUAGAAAACCCGAAAUUCUUGCCUGACAUAAUUCAUGGUUAUGAUCAGCUUUCUCAGUUUAUGUAUAAAAAUGGAUCUCAUAAGAAUAUCAUUGACACCUACAGCUUUUAGAGAUCAAGGCCUCAAUCUAGGAUUUCUCUUUUCAUUGGUUUACAUACCUCUGUUUUUAGUUUUUUUGUGGGUUUCCACUAACUUUAUCAGUUAUUUUAAUGGGACAGAAUCUGUUUUUUUAGAAAUGUCUGAAUUUGAAAAUGCCUCUACUCUUUAAUAAACAAUGUCUGAUUAAAAACUA